UACGUAGGGUCCGAGCGUUGUCCGGAAUUAUUGGGCGUAAAGAGCUCGUAGGCGGUUUGUCGCGUCUGCUGUGAAAUCCCGAGGCUCAACCUCGGGCCUGCAGUGGGUACGGGCAGACUGGAGUGCGGUAGGGGAGAAUGGAAUUCCUGGUGUAGCGGUGGAAUGCGCAGAUAUCAGGAGGAACACCGAUGGCGAAGGCGGGUCUCUGGGCCGUAACUGACGCUGAGGAGCGAAAGCGUGGGGAGCGAACAGG
rnacentral:rRNA from 1 species